rnacentral:rRNA from 1 species
UACGUAGGGUGCAAGCGUUAAUCGGAAUUACUGGGCGUAAAGCGUGCGCAGGCGGUCAUGCAAGACAGAUGUGAAAUCCCCGGGCUUAACCUGGGAACCGCAUUUGUGACUGCAUGGCUUGAGUGCGGCAGAGGGGGAUGGAAUUCCGCGUGUAGCAGUGAAAUGCGUAGAUAUGCGGAGGAACACCGAUGGCGAAGGCAAUCCCCUGGGCCUGCACUGACGCUCAUGCACGAAAGCGUGGGGAGCAAACAGG